rnacentral:siRNA from 1 species
AGGGAGUGCCCGCAACUACAGACG